AGCUUUUCAGUAGUUUACUACAGAAAAUGACUGAGCGGCGAACGGGUGAGUAACGCGUGAGCAAUCUACCUUAGUUACUGGGAUAGCCCGAGGAAACUCGGAUUAAUACCGGAUAAUCUUAUUACAUCACAUGAUAUUUUAAGUAAAGGUCAGCCGAACUAAGAUGAGCUCGCGUUCUAUCAGCUUGUUGGUGGGGUAAAAGCCUACCAAGGCUACGACGGAUAGCUGGUCUGAGAGGACGAUCAGCCACACUGGGACUGAGACACGGCCCAGACUCCUACGGGAGGCUGCAGCAGGGAAUAUUGUGCAAUGAGCGAAAGCUUGACACAGCGACACCGCGUGUGGGAUGACGGUUCUAGGAUUGUAAACCACUUUCAGGAGGGAAGAAAAUGACGGUACCUCCACAAGAAGCCCCGGCCAACUACGUGCCAGCAGCCGCGGUAAUACGUAGGGGGCGAGCGUUGUCCGGAUUUAUUGGGCGUAAAGAGCUCGUAGGCGGUUCAACAAGUCGGUCGUGAAAGUUUAGGGCUUAACCCUGAAAUGUCGAUCGAUACUGUUGUGACUAGGAUAUGGUAGAGGUGAAUGGAAUUCCGAGUGUAGCGGUGAAAUGCGUAGAUAUUCGGAGGAACACCAAUUGCGAAGGCAGUUCACUGGACCACUAUCGACGCUGAGGAGCGAAAGCUAGGGGAGCAAACAGGAUUAGAUACCCUGGUAGUCCUAGCUGUAAACGAUGGAUACUAGAUGUAGGAAUUGGAUUGACGAUUUCUGUAUCGUAGCUAACGCGUUAAGUAUCCCGCCUGGGGGAGUACGGUCGCAAGACUAAAACUCAAAGGAAUUGACGGGACCCCGCACAAGCGGCGGAGCAUGCGGCUUAAUUCGAUGAUACCCGUAGAACCUUACCUGGACUA
rnacentral:rRNA from 1 species